GACGAACGCUGGCGGCGUGCUUAACACAUGCAAGUCGAACGGAAAGGCCCUGCUGUUGUGGUGUGCUCGAGUUGCGAACGGACGGGUAACACGUGAGUAACCUGCCCUUGCCUUUGGGGUAACUUCAAGAAACUGGGGCUAAUACCGGAUAGAAGCUCCUGCUGCAUGGUGGGGGGUGGAAAUUUUCGGCGGUUGGGGAUGGACUCGGGGCUUAUCAGCUUGUUGGUGGGUUAGUGGCUUACCAAGGCUUUGACGGGGAGCCGGACUGAGAGGGUGACCGGCCACAGUGGGACUGAGAUACGGCCAAGACUGAUACGGGAGGCAGAAGUGGGGAAUAUUGCAAAAUGGGCGGAAGCAUGAUGCACCAACGCCGCGUGCGGGAUGACGGCCUUCGGGUUGUAAACCGCUUCCGCCUGUGACGAAGCGUGAGUGACGGUAAUGGGUAAAGAAGCAACGGCUAACUACGUG
rnacentral:rRNA from 1 species